UUUGCUUAAACAAGUUUGUGUAGUUCGCCCAGACAUUUGCUUGUUGCGGUAAGACAUUUAAAAUAAGCUUCUUUAAAUUCAAAGAACUAAGACAAAAUUUGAAAGGGGAUCUCUCAUUCCAGAAAUGAUUGCAUGUAGUCUAAUAAGAAAGCCUCGGGGAUAUAAAAUAAAUCGUAAAAGCCAGUAUUUGUGUAGUCUGAUGCAGAUUAUAUAAAUAUCGGUAUUAAUUUGGUACUAAAAAGGGAAUAUAUACUGAUAAGGUUACUGAUUAGGUUAUCAGUGGUAUCUGUAUUUGCAUGCAUACAGAUAAGUUCAGCUGCCGGUUACCGCAUUGUAUAACAAUGGUCUGCUCAGGGUAGCUAAAAAAAGUUUUAGGUUACUGAUAAGUUAUCAGGGUUAUCUGUAUUUCUUAAGGUUAAUUAGAUAGCAUGCGUACAGAUAAGUUCAGCUGCCGGUUACCGCAUUGUAUAACAAUGGUCUGCUCAGGGUAGCUAAAAAAAGGUAUAGAUAAAUUAAGCUUCCGGUUACCGCAUUGAUUAGCAAUGGUCUGCUCGGGGAAGGUAUAGAUAAAUUUAGCUUCCGGUUACCGCAUUGAUUAGCAAUGGUCUGCUCGGGGAAGAUAUAGAUAAAUUAAGCUUCCGGUUACCGCAUUGAUUAGCAAUGGUCUGCUCGGGGAAGGUAUAGAUAAAUUUAGCUUCCGGUUACCGCAUUGAUUAGCAAUGGUCUGCUCGGGGAAGGUAUAGAUAAAUUUAGCUUCCGGUUACCGCAUUGAUUAGCAAUGGUCUGCUCGGGGAAGUUGUAAAGUUGUUUGUCAUUUUAAAGUUGUUAAUUUUAAAGUUGUUUGUCAUUGUGUCAGUAAGUGUUAUAGUUUAAAGAGUUUUUUUUUAGUAAGUAAAACUGAUAGGGAGUGGAGUACAGAGUAAAAGCUUUUAUGUGUGCGUGUCUGUGGGAUCCUGUGUGUCUGCUUGACUGUGCCUGUGGUUAAAAAAUAGGGGACAAGGAAUGUUUGAAUGAUGUGUAUGUAGUAAAAGUAAAGGAAAUAGUAAAGAAUAACAAUUGUUUCAAAAUAUUAACCUGGGAGAUUAUUGUAGUGUAGUAUGAAAUAAGCUAAAGUUAUAAAAUAAAUAUUUAAUUAAUAAUUAUAAUGAUGUGUAUAUAUAUAUAUAUAUAUAUAUAUAUAUAUAUAUAUAUAUAUAUAUAUUGAUAAAGAUGAAUAUAAAUGCACGUGCUUAAUUUAUUAUAUCUUAAAUCUGAAGACGUCUAAAAUUUGUAUCUCAUUAUCCCUUAAGACGGAUUGAAAAAAAAAAAAAGUAUUCCAUUGUAGAUAAAGUUUGUGCUAAGAAAAAAUAACUUGCAGUCUGCUAAAAGUGAACAGGAUUGGGUGACCAAGUUUCAACAUACAUAAAUAACUUACAGCAAUCUUAGAACUGUAGUAAAGGGGAUUAUUGAAAAUGGGUAAGGAAAAGUUUAUUCACCAUGUGAGAUUAUUUUGAGCACAGCAUGUAAAUUUAGGAAAGAUUAAAAGCUGAUUUUAUAAUAGGGAAAAUUAUUUAGAUUAUACUCAGAUAAUCAAAGUUAGAUUAUUGCAUAUUGCAAAGAAGAAAUGGCUUGCUUUUUCCUGCAACGAAGAACUUGCUUCAGUAAAAACAGAAUGGGAGAACUGCUGGUGUCAACCAGUGAUUAUUAUAUAAAAAAACUAGGAAAAGAAAAAGAGCUAAUUGCUCAGCAACAAAUUUGAUUCAUGCAGUUCUCUGAGUGUUCUAAUUUCAGAUGGUUUCAGUGUCCAAUGGAAGAGGUGAAAGGUCAAAGAGACAACUGCAGAGAGGAGAAGAGGGUGAGGAGUGUUCAGCUCCCUCCUGAAGAUGACCACUUUCUGGAAAUUCAACAUGGAGAAAGACUGAUUAAUGCUGGAAAAGGUGAAACUUUCACUAUUUCACUGGAGACGUUUUCCUGAGGACAAAGAGGAAAAUCCUGACAUGCUGAGGCUAAAUCUAUCAAAAGCCUGAACUCAGAAGAGGCAGAGAAACAAGAGAGCCUAUAUUACAGUCUGCAACACAAGACCUUUGAGUGACAGCGGACGACACAUGCAGAGAAACAGCCAAGAAGAUUCAAAAGACUGAGAAAAACAAGCAAACAGAGAAACUGACUGACACCCUUCCCUCACGGGCAACACAGGUGUGGCGACUCCAAUGAUCACUCUAUAGAGAAUGCUCCAAAUUUGGUUAAUUAUUAGAUUAACUUUAUUCGAUUAUUCACUGGUCUUAUAAGCACUUCUUAAUAUUCUCUGCUAAACUAACCCUCUCUGCUUUUCCAGUAGGUUAAGUCCAGCCCUAUAAAAAAAGAAAGAAAGUACACUAAAAGAGACAAGUGGGUGCUCAACUCACUAAAUAGAUCAAACUGAGGCUGGAUGUGGUAUAGUGAGGGUCAUUAAAUGAAACGACUAUAUGGCUAAAAGCAUGAGAAAAAUGAUUUUUGUAGGGAAAAAAACACUAAAAUAUGGAAAACUGUCAAAGAAUUAUUAUUAUUGUUGGCAAAGCAAUGAUACUGGUCACUCCAUUGUGUUUUGAUCAUUUCCUAGACAUAGAUUGGAGAAAAAAUUACUCCAAAAGUAAAAAAAAAAAAAUAUAUGAAAUCGCAAAUGCUGUCAAUACUGGGAUAAUGAGAUGGAAAUGUUGUUGGCCAUGGAUCCAAUAUUAUGCAGAGAUCUCAAAUUUGAUUCUUAAAGCAGCUCAUGAGCAAAAACCAAAAAGAAUAGGAGAAAUCAGAACAACAAAUAAGAAAAAAAUAAUAAUAUGCAUUUGAAAAAUUACAAUUGAAAGGCCAAAUUAUUCUAAAUUACUCAGUCUAUUAGAGCUUAUAAAAGAAAAAAAGGUUAUAAAAAUUGUGUAAACUAAACCUUGAUCAUUGACACUUCUCAGUAGUGGUUAACAGUUGUGUUGACCUGAUCUUACCUUGUGUUUAAAAUUAUAAGAUGCCGCAUUUAUAGCACAACCUGCUGAAGAGCAAGAAUGUAUGCUGGCCAGUGUGUGUGAGAAUGACUGAGUGUGAAAGGAGUGAGAGAUGGCGCUUGAAGAAACACUAAGGCAAAUAAAUUACAGUAUUUUGCCAAUACAGCUGUAUUUAAUCUUUAAAAUGUGGGCCCACAGGGCAAAUUCUGCCCAAUAAAAUAAUGAAUAUGGAUGAAUUUGAUUAAAUUUCCUGGUUGGAACUAUGGUGGCAAUAUGAAAAAGGAAAAAGGAAAAAAAUGAUAAAGGAAAAGGAAAAAAGAUGGAAAAAAAAUUGAAAAACCAAUCCCAUAACUGCGCAGCGCAUAACAUAUCUGACUUUCUUUGCAGCAUAACACAACUGAAUUUAUUUGCAGCAUAUCAAGAGGAGCUGAUCUUUGUCAAAAGUAUGAAAUAUUGUCUGGUAACUUUUGUCUUGUAACAAAGUGGGUUGAGUGUUGUCCAAGAUAUCCAAUAAAUAGUGCUGAUAGUGGAACUCAAGACAAAGAGAUAACUGAGUUGAAUUGACUAAUUGUAAGAGUACACUGGAAUUUUAUUAAAAUAUAAAUUUAUUAUAAGAAAAAUGAAGGAAAUUAAAAGAAAGAAAUGAAAGAAGUUACAAUUAUGAUGUUAAAAAGCCAAACUAUAUAAAAAACAAGGAGAAUAUAUGGAUUAAAGUCCUGAUGUUUAUGAAAGGGCCAGGACACCACUCAGCCUACAUGACCUUUCUACAGGAAACACCAAGGAGGACAAUGGGACAGAUAUGCAGAUGAUUGAAAUCACAUCAUGUUGUCACUAACAAAAAUAAUUAAGCUUUAAUUCACAGAUAGCUGCAGCUUAAUUACGGGAAGGGGACGAGUCUAACAAAAAGAACCAUUGGUACGUUUUGUAAUUUCAGAAGAAGUGAUCAACAGAGUGACAUUUGAGUCCAUGCUUCUCAACUUAAAAUACACCAACCGACUUAAGCAACCCCCCACAAAGGGAGUGAGGGAUCAUGCUGACCAGAGUCCAUUGCAAUGAACAACUCAAAAGUCAUCCUGAUAAAAGAUGUAAAGAUGACCAGAGAGCUAACAGAAUGAUCAAAUCAUAAAUGUAAAAAGACAACAAACUUGACCAGUAAUGCAAGAAUGAGAAGAGCUGUUCAAAGAAGAGAGACUCAACAGAGAUGAGUAAAAGCUCAAACAACAGUCAACAUCAACCAAACUAUCCUGUGAUUGAAGGUUCAGCCCUUGAAUAGAUUCAGUACCAACUUAAUAAUAACCCCAACAGAACAAAAAAUGAUCGAAGAGAAAAAUAUAUCAAAGUAACGUAAAAACAAUGAUAAUGCAAAAUUAAGAAAAGAAAGUAGAAUAAUGAUAAAGAUUAAUUUAAGAAAUUGAUAGGGUAAAGCAUGAAUUAAGAUAAUUCAUGAAGGAAAAAUUAGAACUAAAAAGAACUUUUAAAAUAAAUCUUAGUUGGUAUAUAAUUGGGCAAUACAAGGGUAUACAAAAUUAAUUUAGACAAAGGGUAUACAAAAUUAAUUUAAUUAAUAAGAUUACGAAUUGAUAUAUUGACUAAUUAUAAAAUUACAUCAAACCAAUAACAAACAGAUCCUCCUAAAACAAUCUAAAUGGCACCAGAGGGGGGUAAAAAAAAAAAAAUAUUUGGCAUUCACAUGAAGCAUAGAUUAUUGAACCAACAAUGCGCAAUGGUAUUAAACCAGUGCGCAAAGGGGGGAGUAAGGUAAGAAAAUUAAUUAAGGAUAAGGAAAUUUAAAUUAAGGCAGAAAUAGUAAGGUAAAAUUAACUAAUUAAGAAAGGAUAAGGAAAUUUAAAUUAAGGCAGAAAUAGUAAGGUAAGAUUAACUAAUUAAGAAUAAGGAAAUUCAAAUUAAGCCAGAACAGAAAUUGAAAUUAAAAUAAGUUAAAAUUAAAGGCAGUCAUUUUAAAAUGAAAGGCAUGUUUUGUGAAAUUUGUGGCAAAAACGAAGUUAAGAAAAAGAACAGCGACAAAAAUAGGCCAUAAGUCAGUAUCAGAAAGGCUAUUAAACAAUUUGGUAAGAAAUAUGUGGACAAGAUAUGGAUGGGUAAAAGCAAUGAAAUCAACAGAGGAGGGACAGGAACAGAAAUUAAAUCUCUAACAGAGAAGUAAUCCAUAGAUUGGAAGUCUUUCAGAAAUAAGGUCAGAUAAUGAAUUAGCUGAACAGAAGUAUUGAAGAUUAAAUAAGUUGCAUAUACGAACACAAGGAAGUUUUAAUAAUAAAGAAGUUAUAAUGCUAAUGGUUUAAAUAAAAAUAAAAACCUUAGAUUGUUAGAUAUACAGAAAAAAUAAAUCUACAUAUAAGGUAUAUGUAAGAGUGCAAAAAGUUGUUUGCUAGAGUUAUUUUUCUAAUUGUCGAAAGAGUUUAUUGAAUGACUUUUAUGAGGUCAAUGUAUAACAUUGCUCUGGAGCUUUCUUAGUUAGAGUGAGUACAUGAGACAUAAUUAGUUUAUUCAAGAUAGUUUAUUUAGAAAUUAGUAGAAAAGAAGAAGAAGUAUUCAGUUAAGGUAGUAUUGAACUAAAGAAUAAAGAGAAUAGGAAGCAACACGCAAGAUUAAAAAAUCAAAACGUAAUUUGAAAUGUAAAACUUUUGACAAAAUGCGAAACCUAUUGUGAUUGUUAAAUAGAAAGGUACAAUACAAUGUUCUGUUUGUUCAUCUGCUACAAAAAGAACUGACUGACUUAAAGACUGAUUCUUUGAAUUUAAGAAGUGAUAUUGCUUCAUAAUAUGUGAUAAAAAUGAAAGAGUUAUUUUUACCUAGCCUUAUUUUGAAUUAAGUCAUAUGGAUCAUGCAAAACCAAAAUGCAUAAUGAAUCAAUUAGACUAUUAUAAUAAGCAAAGAUUUAUUAUAAUGCUUUGUCUGCAUUAGGAAAAAAACAUUUAUGUGAAAAAGUAAAAUGACUUCUUUUUGGAGAUCAGUGCUACUAAAAAAUAUAUAUAUAUAUAUAUAUAUAUAUAUAUAAAUAAUAUACUAAAUAGUAUUGUGCAGGGAAAAUUCAGCAAUAACAAUUAAGUGGGAGAAAACCUUAAGAGCAGAGGUUAAGUGGAAAACUUAAUGUAAAACUGGGAAAAUUAUGGUUUGCUCAAUUAGGAAUGUUUUUUGAGGUAAAAUUUUGAAAGUGGGUUAUUAUUCUGUUGUGUACUUUGCAUAUUAAGAUCAUCGGUUGCCAAAAACUACAGUUAAACAAAUGGAGGUGCUAAAAUGUCAAGGAAAUGGGAAAAUAAGUCUAGAGGACAGCCAAGGUAUUACCAAGAUACCAAUGGGAUUUUACAAGCAUUGGAUACGGAUUCAAGUACCUCAAUUGAGGACGAAACAGAUGAUUGAUGAGCCAGACCCUGGGUGUAAGUACUGGCCUGCCCUCUCCCCAGUGGUGACCCUCUACGAUACGCAAAGUGUCUGGGUCGAAGAGGAAGUCUACGCUACAAGGAAAACUUUUAACAGUAUAAGAGACUUUUAUGUUUGACGUACACUAAAUAACUGCGACAUCCACAGACAAGGCCGAGCAAAAGUACACGCUUAUGCUUAUAAUAAUGUUUAAUGUUUGUCUUGUUAGGGAGAACUCGAGUCUUUUACUUUUUCCAUUAACAAAAAAGAAAAAAAAAGACAACUAAAAGAAAUAAAAUGUAUGGAAGAAGAUGUUUGGCUCGAGUGCUCCUCCAGGAGUGUGGUGGCAUAAUCUAGUCAUUGGAAAGGAGAAUGGGUGACUCAGUUGAGUCACUAGGUAGCAUAACUGAGGGGGCUGGAUUUUGAAACUACACUCUGGAAAGGAGUUUACAGUGGGGCUUAAAUAAGCCCCAGAGGAGGGAAUGUAGAAGAUUUUAUUAUUUAGAAAACAAGUAACUUAGCUAUAUAAGAAACCACAUUUAGUUCCUGAAACUUUGGGUCUGACAUUUAGAAGCCCAAUGCUGAUACACCAGAAUACUAUUUCAGUAUGUCACAUGGUACAAUGUAUUUUUAAAACUAUCUAUAGGAUGUCUGACCUUAUAUGGAAGAGGAUGUAUGUAUAUAACUCUGAACACAAAAGAUUCGAGAGCGCAAUAGGGCCGGAGGGCCGGAGGGCCAGCAGGCCAGAGCGUUAGAGCAACUAUGCUGCAGAAGUUGCUCGGCUUUGUUUGUGAAUAAAGUCUAAUAUUUCUGGCA